UUUAUGGAGAGUUUGAUCCUGGCUCAGGAUGAACGCUGGCGGCGUGCCUAAUACAUGCAAGUCGAGCGAACAGACGAGGAGCUUGCUCCUU
rnacentral:rRNA from 1 species